rnacentral:rRNA from 1 species
CCUACGGGAGGCAGCAGUAGGGAAUUUUCGUCAAUGGGCGCAAGCCUGAACGAGCGAUGCCGCGUGAGUGAAGAAGGCCUUCGGGUCGUAAAGCUCUGUUGCGGGGGAAAAAAGGCAGCAUCAGGAAAUGGGUGCUGACUGCUGGUGCCCCGCCAGCAACUCCCGGAUAACUACGUGCCAGCAGCCGCGGUGAUACGUAGGGGGCGAGCGUUCGCCGGAAGGAGUGGGCGAAAAGGGUGCGAAGGCGGUCCAGCAAGUCUGGAGUGAAACGCAAGAGCUAAACUCAUGAAUGGCGUUGGAAACUGGAAGACUAGAGAGCAGGAGAGGGCGGUGGAACUCCAGGUGUAGCGGUAAAAUGCGUAGAGAUAUGGAAGAACACUAGUGGCGAAGGCGGCCGCCUGGCCUGUUGCUGACGCUGAGGCACGAAAGCGUGGGGAGCAAAUAGGAUUAGAUACCCGAGUAGUC